rnacentral:rRNA from 1 species
CGUCCGGCGACCGGCGCACGGGUGAGUAACACGUAUGCAACCUGCCCUCUUCAGGGGACAACCUUCCGAAAGGGAGGCUAAUCCCGCGUAUAUCGGUUUCGGGCAUCCGAGAUCGAGGAAAGAUUCAUCGGAAGAGGAUGGGCAUGCGGCGCAUUAGCUAGACGGCGGGGUAACGGCCCACCGUGGCGACGAUGCGUAGGGGUUCUGAGAGGAAGGUCCCCCCACACUGGUACUGAGACACGGACCAGACUCCUACGGAAGGCAGCAG